CAAUAGCGUAUAUUAAAGUUGUUGCAGUUAAAAAGCUCGUAGUUGGAUUUGUGGCGUACGGUGUGUUCCGGGCACUUGUUGUCUGAGUAACCUGCUGUUGCCAUCCUUGGGUGGAACCUGUGUGGCAUUAGGUUGUCGUGCAGGGGAUGCCCAUCAUUUACUGUGAAAAAAUUAGAGUGUUCAAAGCAGGCUUAUGCCGUUGAAUAUAUUAGCAUGGAAUAAUGAGAUAGGACUUUUUUGCUAUUUUGUUGGUUUGCGCAAGAAGGUAAUGAUUAAUAGGGACAGUUGGGGGUAUUCGUAUUCCAUUGUCAGAGGUGAAACUCUUGGAUUUUUGGAAGACGAACUACUGCGAAAGCAUUUACCAAGGAUGUUUUCAUUAA
rnacentral:rRNA from 1 species